CCUGUACCGUAUUAAUCGAAUAAUCUUAUUGUUCAUAAAAUCCAGAGCAUGUGGGUGAGAAGAAUCGAUGCAGAAGCCAUCGCUCAGAGCGAUUUUCAGUACCUCUUCCACGAAGACCUGGAAGCUGUUGAUCUGCUUGUUGGCGGGCACCACCCAGAGCCUCUUGAGGUUCUGCUUGGUGUACUCCUCCUCUGGCAGGCCCUCCACAUUGGCCACCCAGUCCAGAGUCAGGUGGUUGGGGUCCUGCAAGUGGCUGGUGAUGGAGGAGAGAUUGCCAUUGGAGCAGUAGAAGAGCUUAGAGCCAAGGAGCUUGAGGAAGAGGCAGGAGGUGCUGAAGAUGUUGGCGUUGAAGACCUCCAUGCUGGAAGAGGAGAGGCUGUAGAUCUGGGGUGCCUCGCGCACAGUGAAGUGGACCGUCUGCACACGCUGGUUCAGUGUGAUGUUGAGCAUGGCAUUCUUCUCGGCCUUGGAGAGCUCCACUUCCUUCUCCUGCAGGGCCUCAAUCAGGGGCUGCACCUGGUAGAAGUCGGCCUCCCUGCGGAGCAGCCCCAUCUCCUGGAAGUCCUCAGGCAGGUCAAGGUGGGAGGUCCGCAGGAAGUUGAGGAUAUAGCGGAACACUUUGCCGUCACGGUCAAUGAAGCAGUUGCCCUGGCUGUCCCUCUUGGUGGGCAUCUUCCCGCUGAACAUGGCGCCUAGCAUGGAGUCAGGGAAGCUGGUCAGGGUCGCCAGUGAGGUUGUAUAGAGCUUCCCCCCGACGUUCAGCGUGAUGGGGUCGGACAUGGCAGGAGACUGGGUUGCUGGAAGUAGUCCUGGAGAGGGUGAGAAGUGAGAAAUGACUAUAACCAAACCUUAUCAGAGAACUCACAGUCCUUAACUCCUUAUUGUACAUCAAGCCUAUGCCCUUGGGAUCGAAAUGAAUUAAUACCUGAUGAAUGGGUGAUAAUUGCUAACACUGUGCAAAGUACAUUAGCUUCACUAGGGAGAGGGAAAGGAGAAAGGGAAAAGGAAAGGAAAAAGGAAACAGGGAAAGAAAGGGAAGGACCCCUAAAGCCUGGGUCCCCCGCGCCCCCCUCUGCUGCCGACAUUCUAUUUUAAUUGGUCUGGAAUACUGCCCCAGCCCUGGUAUUUUGAAAGAGUUCCCUUAGUGAUUCUAAAUGUUCAGUUAGAAUAGAGAACCACUGGUCUAAAGAAAGAAAGGAAAACGUGCCUGGACUGAAAGCUAUGCUACGUGUUUAUACAUAUAUUUGCUUACAUAAUAGUUGUAUCAGCCAGGUGCGGUGGCUCACACCUGUAAUCCCAGCACUUAGGGAGGCCGAGGCGGGCAGAUCACCUGAGAUCAGGAGUUCAAGAUCAGACUGGCCAACAUGGUGAAACCCCAUCUCUACUAAAAAUACAAAAAUUAGCUGGGCAUGGUGGUGGGUGCCUGUAAUCCCAGCUGUUCAGGAGGCUGGGGCAGGAGAAUCAUUUGAACUCAGGAGGUGGAGGUUGCAGUGAGCCGGGACUGAACAACUGCACUCCAGCCUGGACAACAAGAGUGAAACUCUGUCUC
ensembl:lncRNA KCTD21-AS1 KCTD21 antisense RNA 1